GUAGGUGGCAAGCGUUGUCCGGAAUUAUUGGGCUUAAAGCGCGCGCAGGCGGUUCUUUAAGUCUGAUGUGAAAGCCCACGGCUCAACCGUGGAGGGUCAUUGGAAACUGGGGAACUUGAGUACAGAAGAGGAAAGCGGAAUUCCACGUGUAGCGGUGAAAUGUGUAGAGAUGUGGAGGAACACCAGUGGCGAAGGCGGCUUUCUGGUCUGUAACUGACGCUGAGGCGCGAAAGCGUGGGGAGCAAACAGGGAUUAGAUACCCUGGUAGUCCACGCCGUAAACGAUGAGUGCUAAGUGUUAGGGGGUUUCCCGCCCCUUAGUGCUGCAGCUAACGCAUUAAGCACUCGCCUGGGGAGUACGCCGCAAGGCUG
rnacentral:rRNA from 1 species